UUGGAGGGCAAGUCUGGUGCCAGCAGCCGCGGUAAUUCCAGCUCCAAUAGCGUAUAUUAAAGUUGUUGCAGUUAAAAAGCUCGUAGUUGAAUUUCGGGGUUAGUAGGUUGGUCAUGCCACUGGUAUGUACUGGUCUCACUGAUUCCUCCUUCCUGAUGAGACGUAAUGCCAUUAAUUUGGUGUUGCGAGGAAUCUGGACUGUUACUUUGAAAAAAUUAGAGUGUUUAAAGCAAGCUAACGCUUGGAUACAUUAGCAUGGAAUAAUGAAAUAGGACGUUCGAUCCUAUUUUGUUGGUUUCUAGGAUUGACGUAAUGAUUAAUAGGGAUAGUUGGGGGCACUAGUAUUCAAUUGUCGGAGGUGAAAUUCUUGGAUUUAUUGAAGACUAACUACUGCGAAAGCAUUUGCCAAGGAUGUUUUCAUUAAUCAAGAACGAAAGUUAGGGGAUCGAAGACGAUCAGAUAGCGUCGUAGUCUUAACCAUAAACUAUGCCGACUAGGGAUCGGAUGAUGUUAUUUUUAAUGACUCAUUCGGCGCCUUACGGGAAACCAAAGUGUUUGGGUUC
rnacentral:rRNA from 1 species